CAUUUGAUGUAACUAUCACUAAGCAGCUCAGUUUCCCCCACUCACCUCUGUGUUGCUAUAGUUGCUGUUACUGUGUUGAGAGAUGGAUAAGUGGGCGACACAGAUAUGAAAGAGGUAUCUCAGGAUUCGUUACUACCUUUUCUGCAGUUUACAAAAGAGAGGAAAGUUGCUUUUCCAAAUAUCUGCUUGCCUGAUCAGUGUGCUAAUGCAUGAAUUUCUGAUAAGCAACGCCAAGCUCUUGUUCUCCCUUCUUAUGGUUCCUCAUUUUCAAAACAACUAGUAGUGGACUACUCUUCAUGUACGGAAUGCCUUCAGUUAAAGAUGGACAGCCCUUCGCUUCUUCCAGAAUCUUAAAAGAAUGAAUUCUCUCUGACUUGGCCCAGCAGAAUGAAAUGUGCUCCCAAAUGAUACAACCAUAGAUGUUGCCAGAUACGGGAUGAAGUCAGCCAGAGUGGAGAGGAAAAAAUAAGAGGAAGAAACCAUCCUACAGCAAGCACUGGGGAAGCUUCCAGGACCUCCGAAGACUGUUUCCAACACAAUGAUUGAGUUGGGAAUGGCAGCAGUAGUGUCAUAAAGUUACAGCUUCAGGCAAGAUGGAAUUUAUAAUUUCGUGGAAUCCCAUGGAGUAAUGACUUAAGAACAAUGAGGGAAAAUAAGAUUUCUUACUGAAGUUCCCUUGGAAACAUCAACAUAAUACUUUAAUGAAAUAGAAUAUCCACUUCUUGUGACCUAGAAAAUCCAUCUAGCAAGUUUAGCUGGUCCAUCACAAAAUGGCUGCUGCAGAAAAAUACCCAGCAUACAGAUGAUGAAUGCGGCUAACAACUCUUGUGAUAAGCUUCCAGUCCUUUCCAUCACCCAAGGCUCAAACAUUAUAUUGUGGCUGCCUAAGUCAAACUAGCGCAAACAUCUCAUUUAACAUAGCAUUUUCAAAAACAUCAAAUGAUCAGGAAAGGCUCUGAUAACCAAGAACAUUGAAUUCCAUUCAAACAAAUAAUUGAGAUUUAUAAUCCCAGCCGUAAAGAAAAUGCAAGCAAACUAAAAUCAGCAUAGCAAAUGUCCUUUAAAGUUGAAAAGAACCUAUAAGAAGAGCAGCAGCAGUUAGCUUUGGCUAACAAAAAGAACUAAAAACUAACCUGAAUAUAUGCACCA